rnacentral:pre_miRNA from 14 species
CGAAGCCUCUUUGCCAUUAGCGAGGUAUAGAGUUCCUACGUGCGCUUUGCUAUAGUCGUAGGAACUUAAUACCGUGCUCUUGGAGGGCUGUCGACC